UACGAAGGGGGCUAGCGUUGCUCGGAAUCACUGGGCGUAAAGGGUGCGUAGGCGGGUCUUUAAGUCAGGGGUGAAAUCCUGGAGCUCAACUCCAGAACUGCCUUUGAUACUGAAGAUCUUGAGUUCGGGAGAGGUGAGUGGAACUGCGAGUGUAGAGGCGAAAUUCGUAGAUAUUCGCAAGAACACCAGUGGCGAAGGCGGCUCACUGGCCCGAUACUGACGCUGAGGCACGAAAGCGUGGGGAGCAAACAGG
rnacentral:rRNA from 1 species